CCUACGUGGGGCAGCAGUGAGGAAUAUUGGUCAAUGGACGAGAGUCUGAACCAGCCAAGUAGCGUGAAGGAUGACUGCCCUAUGGGUUGUAAACUUCUUUUAUAUGGGAAUAAAAUGUUCCACGUGUGGGAUUUUGUAUGUACCAUAUGAAUAAGGAUCGGCUAACUCCGUGCCAGCAGCCGCGGUAAUACGGAGGAUCCGAGCGUUAUCCGGAUUUAUUGGGUUUAAAGGGAGCGUAGGUGGAUUGUUAAGUCAGUUGUGAAAGUUUGCGGCUCAACCGUAAAAUUGCAGUUGAAACUGGCAGUCUUGAGUACAGUAGAGGUGGGCGGAAUUCGUGGUGUAGCGGUGAAAUGCUUAGAUAUCACGAAGAACUCCGAUUGCGAAGGCAGCCUGCUGGACUGUAACUGACGCUGAUGCUCGAAAGUGUGGGUAUCAAACAGGAUUAGAUACCCGAGUAGUC
rnacentral:rRNA from 1 species